CAUUAAUCUCAUCCGAAACUUUCAACAUUAUUCACCAUAAAAUAAUGGAAGAAUGGCAGAAAUAUUGGCUAAAUCUACCUCUAACAAACUGAGAAAUGUAAAGUUAUACAUAAAAAAAUUAAAAUACCCAUCCAACACCAAAAGAAGAGAAGAAGUAAUCAUUACUCGAGUUAAAAUAGAUCAUUCACAUUUAACCCACGCUCACCUCAUCAGAAAAGAACCAGCACCAGUAUUCGAUAUAUGCAAUGGAACAUCAACAAUAGAACACAUAGUUAUCAAAUGCACCAAAUAUAUCGAAGCCCGCAAAAUCUUCAAUAACCCCCUACACUUCACCAAGCACUCAAUGAAGAAAACACGGUCACCACAAACACAUUUUUCAACAAUACAGACUUAAGUCACAAAUUAUAAUCCUCUAAAACAUGCCG